rnacentral:rRNA from 1 species
GUAGGUGGCAAGCGUUGUCCGGAAUUAUUGGGCGUAAAGCGCGCGCAGGCGGUUCUUUAAGUCUGAUGUGAAAGCCCACGGCUCAACCGUGGAGGGUCAUUGGAAACUGGAGAACUUGAGUACAGAAGAGGAAAGCGGAACUCCACGUGUAGCGGUGAAAUGCGUAGAGAUGUGGAGGAACACCAGUGGCGAAGGCGGCUUUCUGGUCUGUAACUGACGCUGAGGCGCGAAAGCGUGGGGAGCAAACAGGAUUAGAUACCCUGGUAGUCCACGCCGUAAACGAUGAGUGCUAAGUGUUAGGGGGGUUUUCCGCCCCCCUUAGUGCUGCAGCUAACGCAUUAAGCACUCCGCCUGGGAGUACGGCCGCAGGGCUG